rnacentral:rRNA from 1 species
AUUGAACGCCGGCGGCAUGCUUUACACAUGCAAGUCGAACGGUAACAGGGUGCUUGCACCGCUGACGAGUGGCGAACGGGUGAGUAAUGCGUCGGAACGUGCCGAGUAGUGGGGGAUAACGCAGCGAAAGUUGUGCUAAUACCGCAUACGUACUGAGGUAGAAAGUGGGGGACCUUCGGGCCUCACGCUAUUCGAGCGGCCGACGUCUGAUUAGCUAGUAGGUGAGGUAAAGGCUCACCUAGGCGACGAUCAGUAGCGGGUCUGAGAGGAUGAUCCGCCACACUGGGACUGAGACACGGCCCAGACUCCUACGGGAGGCAGCAGUGGGGAAUUUUGGACAAUGGGCGAAAGCCUGAUUCAGCCAUGCCGCGUGUCUGAAGAAGGCCUUCGGGUUGUAAAGGACUUUUGUCAGGGAGGAAAUCCCUAGCGUUAAUACCGCUGGGGGAUGACAGUACCUGAAGAAUAAGCACCGGCUAACUACGUGCCAGCCGCCGCGGUAAAAC